rnacentral:rRNA from 1 species
GGGGAAUAUUGGACAAUGGGGGCAACCCUGAUCCAGCAAUGCCGCGUGUGUGAAGAAGGUUUUCGGAUUGUAAAGCACUUUCGACGGGGACGAUGAUGACGGUACCCGUAGAAGAAGCCCCGGCUAACUUCGUGCCAGCAGCCGCGGUAAUACGAAGGGGGCUAGCGUUGCUCGGAAUGACUGGGCGUAAAGGGCGUGUAGGCGGUUUGUACAGUCAGAUGUGAAAUCCCCGGGCUUAACCUGGGAGCUGCAUUUGAUACGUGCAGACUAGAGUGUGAGAGAGGGUUGUGGAAUUCCCAGUGUAGAGGUGAAAUUCGUAGAU